AGCACCUGUGUGUGUGUUUUUGUCUUGACUCAUGGACAGAGACUUUGAGACAGGUGCAAAAACUAAAUCCUCUUUUGCAACCCAGAACUCAUUGUUCAGUAUGAGUCCUGAUACAGAUGAGAAGGAACAUG